GACGAACGCUGGCGGCGUGCUUAACACAUGCAAGUCGAACGGAAAGGCCCUGCUUUUGUGGGGUGCUCGAGUGGCGAACGGGUGAGUAACACGUGAGUAACCUGCCCUUGACUUUGGGAUAACUUCAGGAAACUGGGGCUAAUACCGGAUAGGAGCUCCUGCUGCAUGGUGGGGGUUGGAAAGUUUCGGCGGUUGGGGAUGGACUCGCGGCUUAUCAGCUUGUUGGUGGGGUAGUGGCUUACCAAGGCUUUGACGGGUAGCCGGCCUGAGAGGGUGACCGGCCACAUUGGGACUGAGCUACGGCCCAGCCUCCUCCGGGAGGCAGCAGUGGGGAAUAUUGCACAAUGGGCGGAAGCCUGAUGCAGCACCGCCGCGUGCGGGAUGACGGCCUUCGGGUUGUAAACCGCUUUCGCCUGUGACGAAGCGUGAGUGACGGUAAUGGGUAAAGAAGCACCGGCUAACUACGUG
rnacentral:rRNA from 1 species